AUAUCAUAACCGUACUAUAUAUUUACUCGCGCUACCAAUCUUCGAUUUCAAAGCCCUAAUAUUCAGUCCUCUCGCCUCUGCGCUUUGUCACCUACAGAUCGGAUUCGAGGGAAAAUGAGCAGCCGUGCCAGCAGAACAGUCUAUGUUGGCAAUCUCCCGGGUGAUAUUCGUGAAAAAGAAGUGGAAGAUUUAUUUUACAAGUAUGGUCGCAUAGCCCACAUUGAUCUCAAGGUUCCACCAAGGCCUCCUGGUUAUGCAUUUGUUGAGUUCGAAGAUGCGGAAGAUGCUCAAGAUGCAAUUAGUGGUCGCGAUGGCUAUGAUUUUGAUGGCCAUAGGUUGCGCGUGGAACUUGCUCAUGGUGGUCGUGGUCAUUCAUCAUCUAGUGAUCGUUAUAGUAGUCAUGGAAGCAGCCGAGGUGGGCGUGGAGUAUCUCGACGUUCUGAUUUUCGUGUAUUAGUCACAGGAUUACCUUCUUCUGCUUCGUGGCAAGACUUGAAGGAUCACAUGCGGCGAGCUGGGGAUGUUUGUUUCUCCCAAGUGUUCCGUGAUGGUAGUGGAACCACAGGGAUUGUGGAUUACACCAACUAUGAUGACAUGAAGUAUGCAAUUAAAAAACUGGAUGACUCUGAGUUCCGUAAUGCAUUUUCCCGGUCUUAUGUUCGUGUGAGGGAAUAUGAUUCAAAGAGAGAUUCAUCCAAGAGUCCUAGUCGUGGGCGGUCAUACUCUAGAGGGCGGAGUUAUAGUCGCAGUCGCAGUAGAGGUCGAAGUAGGAGCAAGAGUCGCAGUAGGAGCAAGUCUCCUAAGGGUAAAUCUUCCCAGCGGUCACCUGUAAAAUCCCGAUCAAGGUCUGCUUCCCCUGCUCGUUCACGAUCAAAGUCAUCAUCUCUUUCAGGGAUUUGUUUUUUGCACCCGUCUAUCAUUGGGCAGAAUGUUAGACUGGGUCAAAUAGACAACAUUAAUGUACUGAAAGUGAACUAAUUCUUUUGUAUUGCUCAAGCACGGGCCAGCAAGUGGUUUUAAGUUUAGCAAUGGAUUUGAUAUUACCUUUCUGGAUGCUAUGUGUUUGCAUGCGGUAUUGUGGCUUGUACAAUUCUCUUGAAUGUGAAACCCACCCUUCCCAAGUCUUGGAUGCAUUCUUGGAAUGGUGGAGAUGAGUACUGGACAGACUUCAAAUUAGUCUGGGCAAUGUGUCGGCCCUCUAUUGGAAUGUUGGAUAUGGAAAUAUGCGGCAUACUGGGGAUUGGAUAUUAGGAUCUUGAUGGAAUAUGGUUCAAUUGUCUUCAAUGCUUUUGGUUGAGAAGAUUUGGAUCCAAGAAGAUCAUGGAUUGCAAUAAUAGAGCUGGAUAUCUUGAACUAAGUGCUAUUUGGACUUGGAAGUCAUCAUCACUUUCAUUUACAUUUUCUGCUGCAAGAUUUGCCAAGCUAUAGGACGCACUAUCUGGAUUCAUAAUGGACCUUUUGAGGCACAGUAGGGAAGAAUGCUCCUCUCCCGUCCACUGACUUCCAUAAUAUAUAGUUUCCUGGAGAAUAAAGUUUUCUAAUUUUUUAGGUCUUCGCAGUUGGAUCUUUAAGUUUUGAAUUGCCAUAUCUUCUUCAUAGUUGAACUACUAAAAUACUAUUUUCCUUUCUCUCCUUAUACAAUGUGGAUGAGUCGUUAGGCUUUUGGCUCAAUUUGGUAAAAGAGACAUGGAUUUUAAAUUUGGGUUGUUUCUGAACCUUUUGCAGAUCGCGAUCAAGAUCCAGGUCUCCGGCACCCAAUCGUGAGAAACGUACUAGUAAAAGUCCAAAAAGGCGUGAAGCAAGCAAAAGCCCUAGCAGGAGCAGGAGCAGGAGCAGGAGCCGAAGCAAGAGCA